GACUGAAACUCAAAGGAAUUUGACGGGGGCCCGCACAAGCGGUGGAGCAUGUGGUUUAAUUCGAUGCAACGCGAAGAACCUUACCAAGGCUUGACAUGUCGAGAACUCUGGUGAAAGCCGGAGGUGCCGCAAGGAGCUCGAACACAGGUGGUGCAUGGCUGUCGUCAGCUCGUGUCGUGAGAUGCUUGGGUUAAGUCCCGCAACGAGCGCAACCCUCGAUGUUAGUUGCUAGCAGGUAAAGCUGAGCACUCUAGCGUGACUGCCGGUGACAAACCGGAGGAAGGUGGGGAUGACGUCAAGUCAUCAUGCCCCUUAUGCCUUGGGCUACACACGUGCUACAAUGGCCGGGACAAUAGGAAGCAAUACCGCGAGGUGGAGCAAAUCCCAAAACCCGGUCUCAGUUCAGAUUGCAGGCUGCAACUCGCCUGCAUGAAGGCGGAAUCGCUAGUAACCGCAGGUCUGCAUACUGCGGUGAAUACGUUCCCGGGCNUUGUACACACCGCCCGUCACACCACGAAAGUUUGUCAUGCCCGAAGCCGGUGAGCCAACCGCAAGGAAGCAGCCGUUAAGGUGGGGCAGAUGAUUGGGGUGAAGUCGUAACAAGGUAGCCGUACCGGAAGGUGCGGCUGGAUCACCUCACUUU
rnacentral:rRNA from 1 species